CCAAUUUACUUUUCAGUAUGAAACCGAGGUAGGGAAUUCGAGCAGCAAUUGACAGCGAGGACAGGCCGCCUGCAGCAAUCUCACAUCGUUGCCCUGGAAACCGGACACAGCUGUCCGUUGCUCUCAGCUCGUGCCGCUUUUGGGUCAGGGCAAAAAAAACACUUCUCUCUGAUCGGACUGUGCAUCUUUUCCUUAAUUUGAGAAAAUGGUUUAUAAUAAAAGGAGGCCUGGACUGGUGGAGAACAAGCAAACAUCCAGGACCUCGGUGCGACGAAACUCUUAGCUCCAACUACAAUCUGGGCAUGUAAGACAGAGAGAUUUGGUGGCACGGACACAUUUGAGAAUAUAACAGCGAAAGAACUAGGAGCAAGAGAUAUAUCCUGGAUACCAUACUCAACUUUUGCUGUGGUGCAUAAUUUAAUAAAGACAUUAGAACCAUGAAAAGUG